rnacentral:rRNA from 1 species
AAGGGUGCAAGCGUUGUUCGGAUUUACUGGGCGUAAAGCGUCCGUAGGUGGUUUGUUAAGUCAGGGGUGAAAUCCCGGGGCCCAACCCCGGAACUGCCUUUGAUACUGGCAAGCUGGAGCGUGAUAGAGGGAGAUGGAAUAUCUGGUGUAGGGGUGGAAUCCGUAGAUAUCAGAUGGAACACCAAUGGCGAAGGCAGUCUUCUGGAUCAUUGCUGACACUGAGGGACGAAAGCGUGGGUAGCAAA